GGAAGUAAAAAUCGUAACAAGGUUUCCGUUGGUGAACCUGCGGAAGGAUCAUUAUUGUAUAACCGAGGUGCGAGGGCUGUCGCUGACCCGAAAGGUCGUGCACGCCCGAGUGCCCUCACACACAUCCAUCUCACCCCUAUGUGCACCACCGCGUGGGUCCCCCUUUGGCUUGUUCGGAGGGGGGCUUACGUUUUCACACAAACUUUGUAUGCAGUGUAGAAUGUAUUUUUUGUUUUUGCGAUCACGCAAUCAAUACAACUUUCAACAACGGAUCUCUUGGCUCUC
rnacentral:misc_RNA from 1 species